rnacentral:lncRNA from 1 species
AUCAUUUGAAGGUGGAGGAAUCACCUCUAGCUCUGCUACAUCACUGCGCAGCGGGAGAUCCUUUUCGUCUGUUUCAAUGUCUGAACAUUUGACAUGUGGUAAGACGGGAAGAGAGUCAAUUUGCCUUUCAGUUUCUUCUUUUUUAUCACUUUGAGCUGUAUCCUCCGUUGAACUUUGAAGUGCUGAGACCUUUUCUAUUAUUUUGUCUUCUUCACAAGCUUUCAAUACAGCCUUAGAAGAAGUACUUCCCGGUUGCUGUUCUUCUAUUUCUUGAUCGAGAGUUUCUGGCACGAGGACUUUUUGAAUUUCUUCUGUUUUUUGCUCUUCACUUGAAACCUUGGCCUCAAUGUUUUCACAUGGGUAUACCUCCACUGGACUCUCCUUAUCCGAUAGUUCAACAGAACCCUCAUUCAAUUCCUGCACAUUCUCACUUAUGUCCCUGGCUUUUUGAAGAUCCGGUGGACCAUCUUUCUGUGCCAUUUUUAGUUCCGCUUCACUGACAUUUGAUGCUUGGUGCAAAUCGUCAACUUCCUUCAGUUGAUCCUUAGUCUCCGGUGAGGUUUCUACCGUGUAUUCCUGCAUGAUUUCUGAUGUGGGAAUAGUGGCAGGUUCUACUAGUGUUGAAGUCUCUUUGAUCUGUUUGCAGUCAUCACUCACUUCUUCCACUUGUCGACUAUCCACUCCUUCAUCUUU